GAUGAACGCUGGCGGCGUGCCUAAUACAUGCAAGUCGAGCGAACAGACGAGGAGCUUGCUCCUCUGACGUUAGCGGCGGACGGGUGAGUAACACGUGGAUAACCUACCUAUAAGACUGGGAUAACUUCGGGAAACCGGAGCUAAUACCGGAUAAUAUAUUGAACCGCAUGGUUCAAUAGUGAAAGACGGUUUUGCUGUCACUUAUAGAUGGAUCCGCGCCGCAUUAGCUAGUUGGUAAGGUAACGGCUUACCAAGGCAACGAUGCGUAGCCGACCUGAGAGGGUGAUCGGCCACACUGGAACUGAGACACGGUCCAGACUCCUACGGGAGGCAGCAGUAGGGAAUCUUCCGCAAUGGGCGAAAGCCUGACGGAGCAACGCCGCGUGAGUGAGGAAGGUCUUCGGAUCGUAAAACUCUGUUAUUAGGGAAGAACAAAUGCGUAAGUAACUAUGCACGUCUUGACGGUACCUAAUCAGAAAGCCACGGCUAACUACGU
rnacentral:rRNA from 1 species